ACGGGGGGUGCAAGCGUUGUUCGGAAUUAUUGGGCGUAAAGAGCGUGUAGGCGGCCGGAUAUGUCAGAUGUGAAAUCCCUGGGCUUAACCCAGGAAGUGCAUUUGAAACUGGCCAGCUUGAGUAGGGGAGAGGGAAGUAGAAUUCCUGGUGUAGCGGUGAAAUUCGUAGAUAUCAGGAGGAACACCGGUGGCGAAGGCGACUUCCUGGACCUAUACUGACGCUGAGGCGCGAGAGCGUGGGUAGCAAACAG
rnacentral:rRNA from 1 species